AAGAAAAUUGUGAACCUAAAGAACGGAAAGAAAAUGUCUGGUGGGAGUCAUAUGUUUUCCGAGUCAUCCGACUACAAAUGCACCCCUGUUGUUGGUACAAAGGA